GGAAUCUUCCGCAAUGGGCGAAAGCCUGACGGAGCGACGCCGCGUGAGCGAAGAAGGCCUUCGGGUCGUAAAGCUCUGUUGUGAGGGACGAAGGAGCGCCGUUCGAAGAGGGCGGCGCGGUGACGGUACCUCACGAGGAAGCCCCGGCUAACUACGUGCCAGCAGCCGCGGUAAUACGUAGGGGGCGAGCGUUGUCCGGAAUUAUUGGGCGUAAAGCGCGCGCAGGCGGUCCCUUAAGUCUGAUGUGAAAGCCCACGGCUCAACCGUGGAGGGUCAUUGGAAACUGGGGGACUUGA
rnacentral:rRNA from 1 species